rnacentral:lncRNA from 1 species
GGAUGGAAGGGAGUAUCGAGACCGGAACGAAGAUCUUCCAUUUCGCCCUUUGGAGUCGCCAGACCUUCUCACUCUAGAACCCAUUCUCCUCUUUCGAAGAUAUAUCAAGCAUUCUCACUACAAAAAAAUUGAUUAUUAGCGAUGGUCAAUUACUGUCACUAAUAACAAAUAUACUAUCGCUAAUGGUAUUAGCAACAUAAGCC